UGCGUAACGCGUAUACAAUCUACCUUUUACAGAGGGAUAGCCAGAGUAAAUUUGGAUUAAUACCUCAUAGUAUAGUACUUUGGCAUCAAGGAACUAUUAAAGUCACAACGGCAAAAGAUGAGCAUGCGUCCCAUUAGCUAGUUGGUAAGGUAACGGCUUACCAAGGCUACGAUGGGUAGGGGUCCUGAGAGGGAGAUCCCCCACACUGGUACUGAGACACGGACCAGACUCCUACGGGAGGCAGCAGUGAGGAAUAUUGGACAAUGGGCGCAAGCCUGAUCCAGCCAUGCCGCGUGCAGGAUGACGGUCCUAUGGAUUGUAAACUGCUUUUAUACAGGAAGAAACACUCCGACGUGUCGGAGCUUGACGGUACUGUAAGAAUAAGGAUCGGCUAACUCCGUG
rnacentral:rRNA from 1 species